rnacentral:rRNA from 1 species
AACGAACGCUGGCGGCAUGCCUAACACAUGCAAGUCGAACGAGACCUUCGGGUCUAGUGGCGCACGGGUGCGUAACGCGUGGGAAUCUGCCCUUGGGUUCGGGGAUAACAGUUGGAAACGACUGCUAAUACCGGAUGAUGACUUCGGUCCAAAGAUUUAUCGCCCAGGGAUGAGCCCGCGUAGGAUUAGCUAGUUGGUGA